UUCAGUUUUCUGACUGUGGACGUGGUGUGACCAGACACUUGGAGCCCCUACCAUCAUGACUCUACACUAUGAUGGACCACAGCUCCUCAAACUGGGAGCCUCCUAUAAGAUCUUUUUCAUCAGAUAAGUAGGCAUCCUCAGUGGCAUUUGUAAUAUGAAUGCUACCUACAAAGUGAAGAAGCACACUUUCCCAGUGCCUCAGCAGAGCUCCAA
rnacentral:lncRNA from 1 species